CCUCGCAUUCCCAUUGUCUCCUAGCGACAAGGCAGGUUCGAUCUGAUGGCUCUGGGGGAGCAAUCUAGGGGGCUGAGUUGAAAUGGACUCUCCUGAGGAUGGGU